rnacentral:rRNA from 1 species
UACGAAGGGGGCUAGCGUUGCUCGGAAUCACUGGGCGUAAAGCGCACGUAGGCGGCUUUUCAAGUCAGAGGUGAAAGCCUGGAGCUCAACUCCAGAAUUGCCUUUGAGACUGUAUCGCUUGAACACGGGAGAGGUGAGUGGAAUUCCGAGUGUAGAGGUGAAAUUCGUAGAUAUUCGGAAGAACACCAGUGGCGAAGGCGGCUCACUGGACCGUUGUUGACGCUGAGGUGCGAAAGCGUGGGGAGCAAACAGG